GGGAGCUGGGGAGGAACAGGAAGGGGAGGGGCUUGUGGGGAGCGGUGGGCAGUGUGGAAAAGGAACUGUGGCGUGUGUCCAUGUGUGUGUCCCUGGGGGCUUGGCAGUGUGGGGAGGCGGGAGGAGGGCAGGGGGGACAGAAUCCAGAAUUUUCUUAGCUGUGGAGCUUGGAAGAGCAGUUCCUGGCCAGCCUGCCCUCUCUCUUCUGGGGAAACCUGGAUGCUGCGGUCAGGGAGGGGUCUGAGCAGCUGAUCUGCUGGGACCAACAGAGCCCUGGAAGGAAUGACAGGCAGCCUGUCACCCGGUCCUCGUUCAGAACCGUCAUGCAUGUGCUGUGUGACUAUGGAUGAGGAGCUGCCCCUCUCUGGGCCUUCCAGAUUAUUUGGCCCAAUGGACGGGACAGGCAAGGACCUCUCCAGCUGGGCCAUCCUUGGGUCCAGUGUCUGAAGGCCACUCUUGGCCCCAGCCCGAGGCAGGGACAGCUCCAUCCUCGGAGGAGCAGAGAUUGCACGUGGGUUCCAAUCCUCAAGGACGUGGUGACGGGAUCU